AGCUUUGCACAGUGGCAGUAUCGUAGCCAAUGAGGGUUAUCCGAGGUGCGAUUAUUGCUAAUUGAAAACUUUAAAAGAGAACAAACUCCAGACCAGUGAUGUACACUGUGCUAGACGAUGCCCUGCCUCCCACUGUCAGUACCAUCAGAGAAGCAUCUGAAAACAGUGAAUACAG
rnacentral:snRNA from 1 species